GCCUCCUCAUCCUCUGCCAGCGGCAACCCUGGUGCAUACGUUUCUUUUUGUGUCUCUUUCAAAAUAGGCCCAGAAUCUGUGAGAACCUGUAGAUGGUCUACGUAUACACGCAGAAAGAUCACAGUUUAAACUUGUGUCAAUAGGUUCCCACUUGGCUGGCAGACACAUCUAAGCACCAGUUGCUGAGUACAACCUGCUCCAAAUGACUGGGAGCCCUGGACUUCCUGGAAGCUGACGUGGACCAGUCCAGCUGAUGGGAUGUCUUCUGGGUGACAAUCACCUCGCCAGCUCAGGCUACCCAGAACAAAACAGGACAAGGCUCUCUUCUCCUGGCCAUCGCUCUGAAGUCCCAGCUCCUGUUCCCACUCAGCAAACCACAUCUAAUUGUCUACAGAACAAACUAGCUUCCUGUCUUUCUGUCUGG